GACGAACGCUGGCGGCGUGCUUAACACAUGCAAGUCGAACGGAAAGGCCCUGCUCUUGUGGGGUGCUCGAGUGGCGAACGGGUGAGUAACACGUGAGUAACCUGCCCUUGACUUUGGGAUAACUCCAGGAAACUGGGGCUAAUACCGGAUAGGAGCUCCUGCUGCAUGGUGGGGGUUGGAAAGUUUCGGCGGUUGGGGAUGGACUCGCGGCUUAUCAGCUUGUUGGUGGGGUAGUGGCUUACCAAGGCUUUGACGGGUAGCCGGCCUGAGAGGGUGACCGGCCACAUUGGGACUGAGAUACGGACCAGACUCCUACGGGAGGCAGCAGUGGAGAAUAUUGCACAAUGGGCGGAAGCCUGAUGCAGCAACGCCGCGUGCGGGAUGACGGGCUUCGGGUUGUAAACCGCUUUCGCCUGUAACGAAGAGUGAGUGACGGUAAUGGGUAAAGAAGCACCGGCUAACUACGUG
rnacentral:rRNA from 1 species